AUUGAACGCUGGCGGCAGGCCUAACACAUGCAAGUCGAGCGGUAGAGAGGUGCUUGCAUCUCUUGAGAGCGGCGGACGGGUGAGUAAUGCCUAGGAAUCUGCCUAGUGGUGGGGGAUAACGUUCGGAAACGGACGCUAAUACCGCAUACGUCCUACGGGAGAAAGCGGGGGAUCUUCGGACCUCGCGCCAUUAGAUGAGCCUAGGUCGGAUUAGCUAGUUGGUGAGGUAAUGGCUCACCAAGGCGACGAUCCGUAACUGGUCUGAGAGGAUGAUCAGUCACACUGGAACUGAGACACGGUCCAGACUCCUACGGGAGGCAGCAGUGGGGAAUAUUGGACAAUGGCGAAGCCUGAUCCAGCCAUGCCGCGUGUGUGAAGAAGGUCUUCGGAUUGUAAAGCACUUAAGUUGGGAGGAAGGGUAGGUAACCUAAUACGUUGCUACUUUGACGUUACCGACAGAAUAA
rnacentral:rRNA from 1 species